AUUGAACGCUGGCGGCAUGCUUUACACAUGCAAGUCGAACGGCAGCACGAAAGAGCUUGCUCUUUUGGUGGCGAGUGGCGAACGGGUGAGUAAUGCAUCGGAACGUACCGAGUAAUGGGGGAUGACUGUCCGAAAGGAUAGCUAAUACCGCAUACGCUUUGAGAAGGAAAGUGGGGGCUCUUCGGACCUCACGUUAUUCGAGCGGCCGAUGUCUGAUUAGCUAGUUGGUGGGGUAAAGGCCUACCAAGGCGACGAUCAGUAGCGGGUCUGAGAGGAUGAUCCGCCACACUGGGACUGAGACACGGCCCAGACUCCUACGGGAGGCAGCAGUGGGGAAUUUUGGACAAUGGGCGCAAGCCUGAUCCAGCCAUGCCGCGUGUCUGAAGAAGGCCUUCGGGUUGUAAAGGACUUUUGUUAGGGAAGAAAAGGAUAGUGUUAAUACCAUUAUCUGCUGACGGUACCUAAAGAAUAAGCACCGGCUAACUACGUG
rnacentral:rRNA from 1 species